rnacentral:lncRNA from 1 species
GCCCUCGUGCGCGCCAGCCAGCCAGGCCAAGGCCAGGGGAGCUCGAAACUGGCAACCUGGGCGAAGAACCGGAAGGAGGAAAAGGAAACGGAGGGAGAAAGAGUGAUGAGAAACGUCCACACUCCUAAUGUCUUGCCUCCUCUAAGUCGCCGGACACACAGCCCAACUUCCCUGGCAAACUUGCUUUUCAAACUCUCUUCUCCAUCUCAGUCAGGGACUCAGGUUCUGUAGUGCUGCCAUGCUUUACUCCUCUGUCCCUCCCCUUAUCUAGUCUCCCGCAUUGACUUUAUAAGCAAGUUUUGAGUCCCUGCCUCUGGAGUGCCUGAUGAGACAAAACUGCUCCUCGUCCUGCCUCCCCGCUGCUACUUCCAGAACUCAGGGCUCGUGGUCUGGAGCCUGCACUGUUCCAUGAGCCUCCUGACCAACCUGGAAGCCUCUGUCUUUCCUCCCUCAGUGAGAUGCACCUACUUCUCCCUGGAGAAGCUCGAGGAAGCAGGAAUACUGAAGAUGAGCAGGUCAGGUCGGCCUUCACCUCCCCAGGCCCGUCCUGCUCCUGCCUUCCCCUGUGGGGCCCUCCGUGGAUGCUCUGGAGCCCCAGGCAAUAGCCAACUAGACCACAUCUGCUCAGGGGUUUAUUCUUCCGUCUGUUUGCAGGGCUGUUUUGGACUCAGUAUUCACCUAAGCACUCCAAACUACCCAGCACACCCUGCCUGCGCAGCUCUGUGCUGCACCUUCACUCUAGUCACGGGUGUGGCAGUCAGCUCACCAAUUCCUCCUGCUUCCCUGGGACUCGCUGGCUUUUAG